GACGAACGCUGGCGGCGUGCUUAACACAUGCAAGUCGAACGGAAAGGCCCUGCUUUUGUGGGGUGCUCGAGUGGCGAACGGGUGAGUAACACGUGAGUAACCUGCCCUUGACUUUGGGAUAACUUCAGGAAACUGGGGCUAAUACCGGAUAGGAGCUCCUGCUGCAUGGUGGGGGUUGGAAAGUUUCGGCGGUUGGGGAUGGACUCGCGGCUUAUCAGCUUGUUGGUGGGGUAGUGGCUUACCAAGGCUUUGACGGGUAGCCGGCCUGAGAGGGUGACCGGCCACAUUGGGACUGAGAUACGGCCCAGACUCCUACGGGCGGCCGCAGUGGGGAAUAUUGCGCAAUGGGCGGAAGCCUGAUGCAGCAACGCCGCGUGCGGGAUGACGGCCUUCGGGUUGUAAACCGCUUUCGCCUGUGACGACGCGUGAGUGACGGUAAUGGGUAAAGAAGCACCGGCUAACUACGUG
rnacentral:rRNA from 1 species